AUAACAUUCUGACCGUCUGUCUACCGGGCAAUUUCAUUCGCUCCGUGGAAGAUCUUCUCUUUGUCGA
rnacentral:pre_miRNA from 1 species